rnacentral:rRNA from 1 species
GGAUCCAGACUUUGAUCAUGGCUCAGGAUGAACGCUAGCUACAGGCUUAACACAUGCAAGUCGAGGGGCAGCGGGAUUGAAGCUUGCUUCAAUUGCCGGCGACCGGCGCACGGGUGAGUAACGCGUAUCCAACCUUCCGUACACUCAGGGGUAGCCUUUCGAAAGAAAGAUUAAUACCUGAUGGUAUGAUGAGAUUGCAUGAUAGCAUCAUUAAAGAUUUAUCGGUGUACGAUGGGGAUGCGUUCCAUUAGGUAGUAGGCGGGGUAACGGCCCACCUAGCCAACGAUGGAUAGGGGUUCUGAGAGGAAGGUCCCCCACAUUGGAACUGAGACACGGUCCAAACUCCUACGGGAGGCAGCAGUGAGGAAUAUUGGUCAAUGGACGAGAGUCUGAACCAGCCAAGUAGCGUGAAGGAUGAAGGUCCUACGGAUUGUAAACUUCUUUUAUAAGGGAAUAAACCCUCCCACGUGUGGGAGCUUGUAUGUACCUUAUGAAUAAGCAUCGGCUAACUCCGUGCCAGCAGCCGCGGUAAUACGGAGGAUGCGAGCGUUACCCGGAUUUAUUGGGUUUAAAGGGAGCGCAGACGGGUCGUUAAGUCAGCUGUGAAAGUUUGGGGCUCAACCUUAAAAUUGCAGUUGAUACUGGCGUCCUUGAGUGCGGUUGAGGUGUGCGGAAUUCGUGGUGUAGCGGUGAAAUGCUUAGAUAUCACGAAGAACUCCGAUUGCGAAGGCAGCACACUAAUCCGUAGCUGACGUUCAUGCUCGAAAGUGUGGGUAUCAAACAGGAUUAGAUACCCUGGUAGUCCACACGGUAAACGAUGGAUACUCGCUGUUGGCGAUAUACUGUCAGCGGCUUAGCGAAAGCGUUAAGUAUCCCACCUGGGGAGUACGCCGGCAACGGUGCAACUCAA